GGAUGAACGCUAGCGGCAGGCUUAACACAUGCAAGUCGAGGGGCAGCACGGGUAGCAAUACCUGGUGGCGACCGGCGCAAGGGUGCGUAACGCGUGAGCAACAUGCCCUAUACAGGGGGAUAAUCCAGGGAAACUUGGUCUAAUAUCCCAUAGUAUUUAGAGGAGGCAUCUUCUAUAAAUUAAAGCUUCGGUGGUAUAGGAUUGGCUCGCGUGACAUUAGCUAGAUGGUGAGGUAACGGCUCACCAUGGCAAUGAUGUCUAGGGGUUCUGAGAGGAAGGCCCCCCACACUGGGACUGAGACACGGCCCAGACUCCUACGGGAGGCAGCAGUGGGGAAUAUUGGGCAAUGGGGGAAACCCUGACCCAGCAACGCCGCGUGAGGGAAGAAGGUUUUCGGAUUGUAAACCUCUGUUCUUGGGGAAGAGCAGAAGACGGUACCCAAGGAGGAAGCCCCGGCUAACUACGUGCCAGCAGCCGCGGUAAUACGUAGGGGGCGAGCGUUGUCCGGAAUGAUUGGGCGUAAAGGGCGCGUAGGCGGCUGUGUAAGUCAGUAGUGGAAGUCCAGCUUUUAAGGUUGGAAGUGCUAUUGAAACUGUGCAGCUUGAGUGCAGGAGAGGUUAUCGGAAUUCCCGGUGUAGCGGUGAAAUGCGUAGAGAUCGGGAGGAACACCAGUGGCGAAGGCGGGUAACUGGACUGCAACUGACGCUGAGGCGCGAAAGUGUGGGGAGCAAACAGGAUUAGAUACCCUGGUAGUCCACACUGUAAACGAUGAAUGCUAGGUGUAGGGGGUAUCGACCCCUUCUGUGCCGGAGUAAACACAAUAAGCAUUCCGCCUGGGGAGUACGGUCGCAAGAUUAAAACUCAAAGGAAUUGACGGGGGCCCGCACAAGCAGCGGAGCAUGUGGUUUAAUUCGAAGCAACGCGAAGAACCUUACCAGGUCUUGACAUCCAGGUAAAGCUGCAGAGAUGCAGUGUGUGCUUGCACAAUCUGAGACAGGUGGUGCAUGGUUGUCGUCAGCUCGUGUCGUGAGAUGUUGGGUUAAGUCCCGCAACGAGCGCAACCCUUGCCGGCAGUUACUAACAGGUGAAGCUGAGGACUCUGCUGGGACCGCCGGGGACAACUCGGAGGAAGGUGGGGACGACGUCAAAUCAUCAUGCCCCUUAUGACCUGGGCUACACACGUGCUACAAUGGCCGAGACAGAGAGCAGCGAGGGCGCAAGCCGGAGCGAAUCUCAAAAAAGCGGUCACAGUUCGGAUUGUGGGCUGCAACCCGCCCACAUGAAGCAGGAGUUGCUAGUAAUCGCGAAUCAGCAUGUCGCGGUGAAUACGUUCCCGGGCCU
rnacentral:rRNA from 1 species